AACGUAUAGUAUAUAACAAGUCGACAAGGACAUGCCCGUUUACGGUGGAAAUAAAUAAAAGAGAGAUGGUGUAUCCUUGGGAUGAGGUCAUUGGAUUGGCUUAGUAUAAUUAUUACACUACCGCCGAGAAAUAAAUGCAAGUAGCGUGAAAGAACGUGUUCACAAAGACGACCGUGGCAAUACAUCCAAGGCAACAUGUAGAGCUAGCUAGAGAACUACACAUCAAAGUUGUUAGAAAGCUAUACGAUCACGGAAGACGGAAACCUUGCAACAAGGCCAAACGGGUCCUAGUUGGGGGACAUCCUUGAGAUAUUUGAACGCGGAUCCUUUUUGUUUCUUUCCUCCUCGUCCCUAUUGUGUGUGUAUACAUUUUUCACGACUAUUGUCGGGAGGCCAUGAUAAAACAUUUAAACGAGCCCAGAUUUGAGCCGUUUAGUAUAUGGUCACGGGUAAUCGACCUUCACCUCAACACACACAGUAGUCACGAAAUUUGUUUGGAUAUAUACUUUCAAUGGUUGUGAGCUGCUGUGUGUGUUCCGACAUUCAGCAGAGCUCGUUUGGCCUUUUGUGCGCUCACAACCUUGAGUCGAUCGAUCCAAUAUCAUCUGCCAGUCCCGCGGGAAAAUGAGCAGGGCAAUGUCUAUACAGACGUUUCCAAGGUAUACUAAAUGAUAAGACUCUGUUUAUUUUGGUUUUUUUAAAAAUACUUUUCCUUUGAAAAGUGAAAAUUAAAUUUUGAUUUUGAUUUAUUUAUUUGAUUCAGUUCGUCUUACAAGUUCAACGUGUACGAAUUUUCCAUAAUUUUUCAUUGGUAGAAUGAGAAAAUAGUUUCGUACCGGCCAACCCACACAGGACAAGUCGUCUGAGCAGUUCAAGGGCAGUCGGCCAUGUUGGCGUGAUUUUCUUUUCAUGCGGCUGCUUUUAUCUCAAGGUCAGUUGCCCGUUGCGCUCCCGAUGCAGACAACAUAUUACAUUCCGGGGGGAUGAUGAUGACGACGACCGCGUUCAUUUUUCACUCACGGCCAAUUCACCGUCAGACAUUUUUGUUUUCGGCUGUAAAAUGUCGACCGACACGAAUUUUAUCAUUUCGCAGCCCUUGGAAUCAGAUCCAAUUCUGUCCAGGUUAUUUAACCCUCGUCCAAGGUUAAUGUGUCUUUGCAGCCCGCUCACGAAAUAUUGUUCAACAUGUUGUCCAUAUAAUCAGACGAUCCCCCUUGGCGUCAAGGACGUCUAUCAUUAGUUGAGGUACCCGUGAGGAUUUGUCUGCCGUUCCUUUUUGGCAUUGGCCGAUCAAUGACGCCAAGGUGACGGAUAUGAGCCAAAAUAACUUGUCAUCAUCAAAAACUUGCGCUCGUCCGAGUCUUGCAUGAAAGAUAACGUGUAUUGUUUAUUAUCUGGGCGAUUAUUACGAGACAAAAGGAGACGAAUAGAACAAUUUUUGGUGGUAAAAUCUGGAGCAAUGUCAUUGACAUUCGUCUACAAAAGAGCGCAGGAUGUGCUGCAGGCACUUUUCUUUUUUCUUCCUAACAUGUUUAAAAGUUGUGCUGAUGUCAGUAUACCAUUUUAUACCGGGAACGACCUUGGGAGACUAUAGUCCCGCCUCCCGCCACUCUCGGGCGGGAGCUAUUUGGCGUGCGGUAUCAAAGCCAAGGCCAACAACUUCUUCUUCUUUUCUGUCUUCUUUUUUAUUCUUUUUUAUUUUCCUUGUAUUCCGCAUCAUCUAAUAUAGGAAAAUCAAGUUUUCUCUAUUGUUUUUCUUUUUUCUUUUCUCCCUUUUGAGAAUGUUCAUUUGACUUGCUGCAACACUUUGACAAAAUUUAUCGAGUACGACUGCUGUUGUUGCCGACCAUAUUCGGGAAUUAUUUCAAGGGCGGUUGAAUUAAUAGCCCGUAAAAAGUAACUACAAGAAAAUGAGAGAGUUGACUGAACCGCCCUUUUUUUGCCUGUAGAAAUGGCCACAGAGCUAAAACGAAAGUCAUAAUACCUGUUCAGGUGAAUAAACUUACUCGACAGCGCAGGUGCGUGUUGGUGUGGAACGUUUAAAAUUAGGGGGGCAAACAAAAAAAAUUGAGACAAUUUUAUUUGUCAGGGUCUGGUUAUUUAUUUUUUGUUUUUUUUGCGUGUGAAAUAAUUUCAAUUUGUUUUUAAUUUUUCACUGGGAAAAGAUGGAUUCCAGGAACAUUUCAGGCUACGAAAACAUUUCACUCUUCUCCUUAUUAAAAAUGUGUUUAUUUUGUUUUCGGCCAUUUGCGGAAUCGGAUUUCAGAAAGAAAAAUUGUAAUGGUAAAGUUUGGUUGGAAUAUGUUUUUUAAUGAGCUUCUUAAUUUAUUUAUUCGUCAAGCGAAACCGUAAGUGAACCGAAAAAAAAGAAACGAUGACCUUUCGAACCGGAAAAUCCUUUUAUCAAUAAUAUAAAAUGUGCACACCAACUACACCAUCCGGUGGAUUUAUAAAAAAAUAAGACGAAUGAAGAAGACCAAAGGUGAGUAUGAUUUUCCACAAAAGGGUUACACAAUGUGGGCUCGAUGAUGGCGUAGGGAGAAAAAACAGAGGGGUGAGAGAGUGAAAGUGCCGUGGGGAGCAGAUGGCGGAUGGCGGAACACAUGGAUACCAGAAGCGGACACACCUUCCUUACCCGUCAUCUGAUCCAUCGCGCAGUUUUUGCGUGACCUACUUCAAUGGCAUUCAUUCCGGAAAGAAGAAAAAUAAAAUGGCGCGAUCCUUGAGAAAAUUGUGAAUUUGACCGGACAUAAAAGGAAUUGAAAACAAUAUCAUCCAUUCCGCCAGCCACAAGGUUAUUUGCUAGCUGUCUUUAUUCAGUUCCUCAUUUGUCGGUCAGGAAUUCAGUUCCGGUAUCCUUGCGUCAGUGCGGUUUUUAUUCAAGACACGCUGCGCCUUGUAGGGUUUUCCUACCCCCAAGCAAAGUUAUAUACUCUAUUAAUUGAGUGUUAACCUUCCAAGUAGGUGUGUCAUAGUAGUUACAAGGCUAUACGUUGAAUUAAAUUUUGAUUAUUCCAGAAGCGCGAUCAUCUUUUUAUUUUAAAAUUGGUCAACUGACGUGACGAAUGGCGCCGAUAGGUGGCCCUGAGGCGGUUCGCCCUUGAAAAUCGUUGUGUGUGUAAUCUAUCGACAAACCCAAAAAGAAACUGAAAGUUUUGUUUCUCACACACAUAGGUGCACACACACACACACAUAGAGAAGUGUG